AAAAGUUUUAUUGAAACAUGGCCCUGUGUCAUUUGUUUUCAUGUUGUCAGUACCUGCUUUAGUUGACAGUCCAGUGGGCUUGGGUUUUUUUGUUUGUUUGUUUGAUUGAUUGAUAAGUUUUAUAGGAGUAUUGUGUGUGUGUGUGUUUGUUUGUUUGUUUGUUUGUUUGUUUGUUGAGACAGAGUAGCCUAGACUGGCCUUGAACUCACUAUGUAGCUGAGGGUGGCCUUGAACUCAUGAUCCUCCUGGCUCUAACUUUCAAGUGGUGAUAUUACAAGUGCGUACGUAUAGGAUUUCAGAUGUUCAACACCAUGCUCAGCUUUCUGCUGGGGUGCUGAGGAUCUGACCUCAGGUUCUCAUGCUUCCGUACUGAGCCCAUCCACACUUUGUUCUGUACCUUCCACAGGAGCAGAGGAAUGGGAGAAAGCCAGAAAUCCAUUGAAAGAUACUUUUAAUCCACUUAGGAAUACUUACGUAAAUACAUCUUGAAAACUUAAACUGGAAAUAAGCUUACACCAGAAUGAAACCAGUAGGCUGUGCAGGGGCUGGCUGUGGUCAGGACUCAGCAGGUGAAGGUGCCUGCUGCCCAGCCUGAUGAUCCGAGUCCACUUUCUGGAAUCUCCAUGGUUGACUGCCUCCAAGAGAUCCAGUUUCUCUGUCCUUUAGACUGCCGAGAGGGGACUGGCCAUCUACCUCUCAUAGGCAAUGCUGUCCCUUUGAUCCUGCAGGCCAACAGCUCCCUCUGGUGGUCUCUAGUGGAAGUCUCGACUGUAAGGGGCUUCUGUCUCCUGGGAGGUGGAUGGAGUGGAGAAGGCGAGAUCAGCCGUGGUUCUAGUGGACUCUGCACAGCGCUCCGCACCGUUCAGAUCCCAUAUUUGCCUGAGUGGGGGAGAGGGAACUUGGGAGAGCGUCAGUGAGCCUUGUUACUGUGAUAAAAUAAAUGUCUGGCAAAAACAAAAGAAGACAGUCUUUUGGGGGUUUCAGCCUGUGAUGGGCGAGUUCCAUCGCUUCUGGACCCAUGAUGGAGGCAGCACAUCAUGGUGGAGAGGGCACGGUACAGGCGGCAGAGAUGCUCAUCUCAUUGAGGCAGGGAACAGGUAAAGGGUCCAGGAGACAAGAUGUACCCUUCAAAGGCAUGCCCUGGUGACCUAUGUCCUUCAGUUACACCCUAGCUCCUAACAGGCCAUUCAGUAUCAGAGGGCUGCUCAAUCCUUUGCCCUCAUGAACCAGGAACCUCUCACUAGCACCCCCAACUGGAGCCAAACCUUCAUUGCAUGAGCCUAUUAGGGUUACACUGGAUACACAAACAGGAACAGAGUGCAAGCCCUAAGCCCCACUGC
rnacentral:lncRNA from 1 species